rnacentral:rRNA from 1 species
GGGCGAUAUGUGCACAUCUGAGAGCCUGUUCACCCUCUUGUGUUUAAGAAGGUUACGAUCAAAUCCUAUUUCACGGAGGGAUUCUCACUACACUUCACUUGUACUCUAAUUGUAACCUACUUAGACCCUAAGAUACCACACCAAAUCGAACAUAACUGUUACCCUGAAAAAUAUACUUCUCUUAGAGGUAUUCGGAUGACGGUAUAUGAGCUUAUUAGGGUAAGAUAUAACGUGUCAAUACGAUUCCAAAGCGGGUUCCUCUGAGGGGGUCAGAUGCCGCCAAGUCCUCUGGGUUUUAAGAAGAUAGCGUAUACUACCCCACCUACGAGGACUCAAAAAGAAGGUGGU